CUACGGGGCGCUCCAGCUGAGGAUAUUCUACAAUGCACGAAAGUGUGAUAGAGCUAGCCAGAGUGCUUUACCGUAUAGGUAAAGCUUUUGUGGGAUGUAAAAAGUCCCACGAAUAAGGACCGGGCAAGACUGGUGCCAGCCGCCGCGGUAAUACCAGCGGUCCAAGUCGCAAUCAUGUUUAUUGGGUCUAAAACAUCCGUAGCUUGUUAUGUAAGUCUCUUGUGAAAUCCUGCAUCUUAAGUGUAGAAGUGCAAGAGAUACUGCAUGGCUAGAGACCGGGAGAGGUAAGGAGUACGGUUAGGGUAGCGGUUAAAUGUGUUGAUCCUAUCUGGACUAACAAUAGCGAAGGCACCUUACUAGAACGGAUCUGACAGUCAGGGAUGAAGGCUAGGGGCGCAAAACGGAUUAGAUACCCGCGUAGUC
rnacentral:rRNA from 1 species